CUCGUCCUCUUGAAAUUUUCUACUUACCUGUAGUCUCUGCAAUGAAUUGCAUAUAUUAAUAGGACUUUCAGUAUCUAAUACCCAGGUAGUAGUAUCACAAAUAGAGAAAUUACAAGGUGUUAUCAUAUAAAUUUCUUGUGAAGCAACCACAUACCUCUUUUUCUUGUUCUUAGGCCUGUUUGGGUCAAGGGUGGCUAUAUAAAUAGAAUAAUUUCUUUUUCAAUGAUCCAGUUUUUUACAAAAGAAGCACUCUGCCUGGCUCUUAUCAACUUUUAACAUUUUGCUCUACUU
rnacentral:lncRNA from 1 species